rnacentral:rRNA from 1 species
GAUGAACGCUGGCGGCGUGCCUAAUACAUGCAAGUCGAGCGAACAGACGAGGAGCUUGCUCCUCUGACGUUAGCGGCGGACGGGUGAGUAACACGUGGAUAACCUACCUAUAAGACUGGGAUAACUUCGGGAAACCGGAGCUAAUACCGGAUAAUAUAUUGAACCGCAUGGUUCAAUAGUGACAGACGGUUUUGCUGUAACUUAUAGAUGGAUCCGCGCCGCAUUAGCUAGUUGGUAAGGUAACGGCUUACCAAGGCAACGAUGCGUAGCCGACCUGAGAGGGUGAUCGGCCACACUGGAACUGAGACACGGUCCAGACUCCUACGGGAGGCAGCAGUAGGGAAUCUUCCGCAAUGGGCGAAAGCCUGACGGAGCAACGCCGCGUGAGUGAUGAAGGUCUUCGGAUCGUAAAACUCUGUUAUUAGGGAAGAACAAAUGUGUAAGUAACUAUGCACGUCUUGACGGUACCUAAUCAGAAAGCCACGGCUAACUACGUG